CCUACGGGUGGCAGCAGUGGGGAAUAUUGGGCAAUGGGCGCAAGCCUGACCCAGCAACGCCGCGUGAAGGAAGAAGGCUUUCGGGUUGUAAACUUCUUUUCUCAGGGACGAAGAAUGUGUCGGUACCUCAGGAAUAAGCCACGGCUAACUACGUGCCAGCAGCCGCGGUAAUACGUAGGUGGCAAGCGUUAUACGGAUUUAUUGGGUGUAAAGGGCGUGUAGGCGGGAGGGCAAGUCAGAUGUGAAAACUCAGGGCUCAACGUUGAGACUGCAUUUGAAACUGUGUGGCUUGAGUGCUGGAGAGGAAAGCGGAAUUCCGGGUGUAGCGGGGAAAUGCGUAGAUAUACGGAGGAACACCAGUGGCGAAGGCGGAUUGCUGGACAGUAACUGACGCUGAGGCGCGAAAGCGUGGGGAGCAAACAGGAUUAGAUACCCCAGUAGUC
rnacentral:rRNA from 1 species